rnacentral:tRNA from 1 species
CGCGGGAUGGAGCAGUUGGCAGCUCGUUGGGCUCAUAACCCAAAGGUCACAGGUUCGAGUCCUGUCCCCGCUACCA